rnacentral:rRNA from 1 species
UACGUAGGUCCCGAGCGUUGUCCGGAUUUAUUGGGUUUAAAGGGUGCGUAGGCGGGCUGUCAAGUCAGCGGUAAAAUUGAGAGGCUCAACCUCUUCCCGCCGUUGAAACUGGUGGUCUUGAGUGGAUGAGAAGUACGCGGAAUGCGUGGUGUAGCGGUGAAAUGCAUAGAUAUCACGCAGAACUCCGAUUGCGAAGGCAGCGUACCGGCAUCCAACUGACGCUGAGGCACGAAAGCGUGGGGAUCAAACAGG